UGAGGAAUAUUGGGCAAUGCCCGCAAGGGUGACCCAGCAACGCCGCGUGGAGGAUGAAUGUCGUAAGAUUGUAAACUCCUGUUAGAGGGGAAGAAUAGUACCGGUUCGACCGGUAUAUGACUGUACCCUCAGAGAAAGCCCCGGCUAACUACGUGCCAGCAGCCGCGGUAAUACGUAGGGGGCAAGCGUUGUCCGGAUUUACUGGGUGUAAAGGGCGCGCAGGCGGGAUAAAAAGUCAGUGGUGAAAUCCUACAGCUUAACUGUAGAACUGCCUUUGAUACUUUUAUUCUUGAGUUCGGGAGAGAGAGACGGAAUUCCAGGUGUAGUGGUGAAAUACGUAGAUAUCUGGAAGAACACCAGUUGCGAAGGCGGUCUCUUGAUCCGACACUGACGCUGAGGCGCGAAAGCGUGGGGAGCAAACA
rnacentral:rRNA from 1 species